rnacentral:rRNA from 1 species
GACGAACGCUGGCGGCGUGCUUAACACAUGCAAGUCGAACGGAAAGGCCCUGCUUUUGUGGGGUGCUCGAGUGGCGAACGGGUGAGUAACACGUGAGUAACCUGCCCUUGACUUUGGGAUAACUUCAGGAAACUGGGGCUAAUACCGGAUAGGAGCUCCUGCUGCAUGGUGGGGGUUGGAAAGUUUCGGCGGUUGGGGAUGGACUCGCGGCUUAUCAGCUUGUUGGUGGGGUAGUGGCUUACCAAGGCUUUGACGGGUAGCCGGCCUGAGAGGGUGACCGGCCACAAUGGGACUGAGAGACGGCCCAGAAUCCAACGGGAGGCAGCAGUGGGGAAUAUUGCACAAUGGGCGGAAGCCUGAUGCAGCAACGCCGCGUGCGGGAUGACGGCCUUCGGGUUGUAAACCGCUUUCGCCUGUGACGAAGCGUGAGUGACGGUAAUGGGUAAAGAAGCACCGGCUAACUACGUG